rnacentral:rRNA from 1 species
UAAGACGGAGGAUGCAAGCGUUAUCCGGAAUUAUUGGGCGUAAAGCGUCCGCAGGUGGCCUAUCAAGUCUGCUGUCAAAGACCGGGGCUUAACCCCAGAAAGGCAGUGGAAACUGAAAGGCUAGAGGAUGGUAGGGGCAGAGGGAAUUCCCAGUGUAGCGGUGAAAUGCGUAGAGAUUGGGAAGAACACCGGUGGCGAAAGCGCUCUGCUGGGCCAUAACUGACACUCAGGGACGAAAGCUAGGGGAGCGAAUGGGAUUAGAUACCCCAGUAGUCCUAGCCGUAAACAAUGGAUACUAGGUGUAGCCUGUAUCGACCCGGGCUGUGCCGUAGCCAACGCGUUAAGUAUCCCGCCUGGGGAGUACGCACGCAAGUGUG